UCCCUGGUGGCUCAGACAGUAAAGCGUCUGCCUGCAAUGCGGGAGAUCCAGGUUCAAUCCCUGGGUUGGGAA
rnacentral:tRNA from 1 species